CCUGACAGUUUCUCCUGCACUCAGGAGACUGUAGGACAUUUUCCUAACUGCAGAGGAGAGUCCCCAGUUAUCCAAGGAGGAUUGUGAGCAGUGGGCUGGUCUCCCUGGCUUCAAGAGCAGGGUUGAUGAUAGGAUCUGUCAGAACGGUUCUACUGACAAAACCAUAUGAAGAAUGAGAAAGAGUUCCACAGAUGCUGAGCCAGGAUGCACUAAGCGUAAGAAGAUGGAAAGCAAUGAUGCUGGUGCACUAUAAUGUGUACAAAAUCAGAGAAAAUUGGAAUAUAAAUAUAAAAUAUGGUCUUUGUAAGUUGCCCAGGCUGGCCUCAAACUUGCAAUCCUCCUGCAUCAGCCUCCAGAGUAGCGGGAUUGUAGGUGUGCACCCCUAUGCCUGACCUGUGGGCAGUAGAAAUAGAAGCCUACUCCUCACCAUCUUAAGAAACAGCCUUGGAAAACUCCAGGCAGCCUACACAGUAGGCCAAGAAGAUUGAAGGGCACAUCAAUGACAUCUGAUAAGGGUUAUUUCUGCCGGAAUAAAGAGCGGCCUCCCAAUAAGCACAGUGAAUAUUCAUGGAAGUUACCAGAGGCUAGAAGGAGAAGAAGAAGAAGAAGAAGAAGAAGAAGAAGAAGAAGAAGAAGAAGAAGAAGAAGAAGAAGAACCUACAACAAAAUUUUAAAACGUGUCCAUCAGGGUCCAACUUUAAGAUAGAGGAAAUGCACCAUGGCAAAUUGUCAGUCUAUAUGUUAUUUAAAAUAUAACUUUAAACUGGGCAUGAUGUUGCAUAGUUGUAAUCUCAGCACUCUGGGAGGCUGAGGCAGAAAGAUAGCAAAUUUGAACCCAGCCUGGACAAAUUGGUUAUUUAGCAAUGCCCUUUCUUAAAGUAAAAAAAAAAAAAAAAAAAUUAAA